CCUACGGGAGGCUGCAGUGGGGAAUAUUGGACAAUGGGGGGAACCCUGAUCCAGCCAUGCCGCGUGUGUGAAGAAGGCCCUCGGGUUGUAAAGCACUUUCAGUGAGGAAGAACGCCUGGUGGUUAAUACCCAUCAGGAAAGACAUCACUCACAGAAGAAGCACCGGCUAACUCCGUGCCAGCAGCCGCGGUAAUACGGAGGGUGCGAGCGUUAAUCGGAAUUACUGGGCGUAAAGCGCGCGUAGGUGGCUUGAUAAGCCGGUUGUGAAAGCCCCGGGCUCAACCUGGGAACGGCAUCCGGAACUGUCAAGCUAGAGUGCAGGAGAGGAAGGUAGAAUUCCCGGUGUAGCGGUGAAAUGCGUAGAGAUCGGGAGGAAUACCAGUGGCGAAGGCGGCCUUCUGGACUGACACUGACACUGAGGUGCGAAAGCGUGGGUAGCAAACAGGAUUAGAUACCUGAGUAGUC
rnacentral:rRNA from 1 species